GACGUAGGGCGCAAGCGUUGUCCGGAUUUAUUGGGCGUAAAGAGCUCGUAGGCGGCUUGCCACGUCUGCCGUGAAAACCAGCAGCUUAACUGUUGGCUUGCGGUUGAUACGGGUUGGCUGGAGUUCGGUAGGGGAGACUGGAAUUCCUGGUGUAGCGGUGAAAUGCGUAGAUAUCCGGAGGAACACCGGUGGCGAAGGCGGCUUCCUGGACCGACACUGACGCUGAGGCGCGAAAGCCAGGGGAGCAAACGGG
rnacentral:rRNA from 1 species